GACGAACGCUGGCGGCGUGCUUAACACAUGCAAGUCGAACGGAAAGGCCCUGCUUUUGUGGGGUGCUCGAGUGGCGAACGGGUGAGUAACACGUGAGUAACCUGCCCUUGACUUUGGGAUAACUUCAGGAAACUGGGGCUAAUACCGGAUAGGAGCUCCUGCUGCAUUGUGGGGGUUGGAAAGUUUCUGCGGUUGGGGAUGGACUCGCGGCUUAUCAGCUUGUUGGUGGGGUAGUGGCUUACCAAGGCUUUGACGGGUAGCCGGCCUGAGAGGGUGACCGGCCACAUUGGGACUGAGAUACGGCCCAGACUCCUACGGGAGGUAGCAGUGGGGACUAUUGCACAAUGGGCGGAAGCCUGAUGCAGCAACGCCGCGUGCGGGAUGACGGCCUUCGGGUUGUAAACCGCUUGCGCCUGUGACGAAGCGUGAGUGACGGGAAGGGGUAAAGAAGCACCGGCUAACU
rnacentral:rRNA from 1 species